ACGGAGGGUGCAAGCGUUAUCCGGAUUCACUGGGUUUAAAGGGUGCGUAGGUGGGCAGGUAAGUCAGCGGUGAAAUCCCCGAGCUUAACUUGGGAACUGCCAUUGAUACUAUCUGUCUUGAAUACCUUGGAGGUGAGCGGAAUAUGUCAUGUAGCAGGGAAAUGCUUAGAUAUGACAUAGAACACCAAUUGCGAAGGCAGCUCACUACACGGGAAUUGACACU
rnacentral:rRNA from 1 species